rnacentral:rRNA from 1 species
UACGGGGGGGGCAAGCGUUGUUCGGAAUUACUGGGCGUAAAGGGUUUGUAGGUGGCUUGUUAAGUCAGACGUGAAAUCCCUCAGCUUAACUGGGGAACUGCGUCUGAUACUGGCGAGCUUGAGUGCAGGAGAGGAACGCGGAAUUCCAGGUGUAGCGGUGAAAUGCGUAGAUAUCUGGAGGAACACCGGUGGCGAAGGCGGCGUUCUGGACUGCAACUGACACUGAUGAACGAAAGCCAGGGGAGCAAACGGG